rnacentral:rRNA from 1 species
UACGAAGGGUGCAAACGUUGCUCGGAAUUAUUGGGCGUAAAGCGCACGUAGGCGGCUUAGCAAGUUGGAUGUGAAAUCCCUGGGCUCAACCCAGGAACUGCAUCUGAAACUGGUCGUCUUGAGUGCUGGAGAGGGAAGCGGAAUUCCUGGUGUAGAGGUGAAAUUCGUAGAUAUCAGGAGGAACACCGGUGGCGAAGGCGGGGUCUCUGGGCAACAACUGACGCUGAGGAGCGAAAGCGUGGGGAGCGAACAGG